AGCUAAUUAACUUCCUCAAGGUAGCUCAGCUAAUAAGUGAUAGAGUAGGUAAGAAAGUUUUAGGGAAAAUAAUCAGAAUCCAAAUACACCGAUUUUUUUCCUUUGAAUUUCUUCUUUUAUUUUACCUUUCCUUCCUGUCCCUCUUUCAUGCCACCAUCUUUGUCUGCUGGAAACAGGUCACAAUCUGGACCCCUUGCCCAGACUCCACUUUAGUUCAUCUUGUACUCUCUUCUGUUUUGCUUGUUCUAAAAUUCAUUUUCAUUAAGCCUCUUGCUUUCUCAGAAAGCCUCAUUAGCUUGUCACCUCAUAGAGAAUCAAGUACGAAUCACGUAGCCUAGCUUACCAGACCUUCCCUUGUCUGGCUCCAUUUGAGCCAUCUGGUUUUAUUGCCCACUGUGAGCCUAACACAUUAUAUCACACAAUGUGUCCCUCAAUAAACUGUUAUAGAACUGAGGAAUUGAUAAGCCUAACUUAUCAAAACAGUUCAGUAAUUUCUUUAAUGACACAUCUGGAAAUAAAAACAACUUAAAAAACUCUCCAUAGAGAAUGAAAAAUUUAAACAGUUUCAGUUUCCAAUUUUGGUGAUUUGGAUACUGCAGCACUACCUUUUCUGUUACCUACAUUGUUUGAAACUACAGAUUAAUUAUUGACUGAAAAUUUGGGAAGGUGAACAGGCAGUUAUAAAUUUAAUUUUUUUCUUCUAGGGGACAGAAUUUGAGGCACAGCAGUACUCCAGGUCAGACAAUGCCAAAUUGCUCUGCUUUUGUUUAAACUGGAGCAGACUCCAACAGCUUGACCUUGCCUCAGAAGAAAGGGCCUGGCAUGAAGGUUCUUUAAAAGAAAGGAAAGUCACAGAGAUUCCAAAUCCAAGAAGGCUUUAACUUGGGGUUGCUGACAGAAGAUGGAAGGGGCUACAGGAGAGGAGUGUGGCAGCCUAUGUGAAUUGAGAGUGGCUUCCAUCUGACAGUUUGUAAGAAAACAAGGACCUCAGUCCUAGCACUGCUAGGAACUGAAUUCUGCCACCAACCUGGACAACCCUGGAAGUAGAUUCUUCUCCAGAAUAUCUGGGAAGGGAUGUAGCUCUGGGAUAUUUUGGUUUGAGCUACAUGACUGCAAGCAGUGAAUCCAGUCUAAUGGUGCUGUACUUCUGAUCUGCAGAACUGAAUAGAAAUUUAAUAUAAGACCUAAUAUUUACAGCGAGUUUGCUACAAUGCUCAAGGGGAUUGCAGAAAGACAGAAUUGAGGAAAAUAUGCUUUCUCUCAAAGAGAAACUAUGGUAGAGUCGACUGGUUAUGAGCACAGGUGAACUACGUUUGAUACCAUCUCACAGAAGGGUUGUGAAAAUUAAAUGACAUAGCUGGAAGGCAUGUGGAGUCCUCCCUGACCAAGGAUCGAAUCCACACCUCCUGCAUUGGAAGGCAAAGUCUUAACCACUGGGCCACCAGGGAAAUCUCAGUGAAUUCUAAAUAAAUUCUAAAUAAAGUUUGUUGUUGUUGUCGUCAUCAUCAUCAGCC
ensembl:lncRNA